ACACACACAGACACAUCAUUGUUGUUAUGUUAAACUAUAGUAUGUCCAAAUUUGGCAAAAUGCAUUUUUAUCAAUAUUUAUUUUAGCUUGCAAUAGUCGGUUCUUU